UCCCAUCAGAUCACCUUCAACACCAACAUGUUCUCUGUAGCUCUGCUGCUGAUGAUGGCUGCUGGAUCCUGUGUGAAGUGUGAAACACUGACACAACCAGCCUCCAUGACUGUACAGCCAGGUCAACGUCUGACCAUCACCUGUCAGGUUUCUUAUUCUGUGAGUAGCUACCGGACAAACUGGAUCAGACAGCCUGCAGGGAAAGGACUGGAGUGGAUUGGGAGUGCACGCAUUGGGUACAACACAUACUACAAAGAUUCACUAAAGGACAAGUUUAGUAUCAACUUAGACUCUUCCAGCAACACAGCAACUCUGAAUGGACAGAAUAUGCAGCCUGAAGACACGGCUGUGUAUUACUGUGCGAGAGAGUCACAGUGA